GGGGGACCAUCCUCCAAGGCUAAAUACUCCUGACUGACCGAUAGUGAACCAGUACCGUGAGGGAAAGGCGAAAAGAACCCCGGCGAGGGGAGUGAAAAAGAACCUGAAACCGUGUACGUACAAGCAGUGGGAGCACGCUUAGGCGUGUGACUGCGUACCUUUUGUAUAAUGGGUCAGCGACUUAUAUUCUGUAGCAAGGUUAACCGAAUAGGGGAGCCGAAGGGAAACCGAGUCUUAACUGGGCGUUAAGUUGCAGGGUAUAGACCCGAAACCCGGUGAUCUAGCCAUGGGCAGGUUGAAGGUUGGGUAACACUAACUGGAGGACCGAACCGACUAAUGUUGAAAAAUUAGCGGAUGACUUGUGGCUGGGGGUGAAAGGCCAAUCAAACCGGGAGAUAGCUGGUUCUCCCCGAAAGCUAUUUAGGUAGCGCCUCGUGAAUUCAUCUCCGGGGGUAGAGCACUGUUUCGGCAAGGGGGUCAUCCCGACUUACCAACCCGAUGCAAACUGCGAAUACCGGAGAAUGUUAUCACGGGAGACACACGGCGGGUGCUAACGUCCGUCGUGAAGAGGGAAACAACCCAGACCGCCAGCUAAGGUCCCAAAGUCAUGGUUAAGUGGGAAACGAUGUGGGAAGGCCCAGACAGCCAGGAUGUUGGCUUAGAAGCAGCCAUCAUUUAAAGAAAGCGUAAUAGCUCACUGGUCGAGUCGGCCUGCGCGGAAGAUGUAACGGGGCUAAACCAUGCACCGAAGCUGCGGCAGCGACGCUGAUGCGUUGUUGGGUAGGGGAGCGUUCUGUAAGCCUGCGAAGGUGUGCUGUGAGGCAUGCUGGAGGUAUCAGAAGUGCGAAUGCUGACAUAAGUAACGAUAAAGCGGGUGAAAAGCCCGCUCGCCGGAAGACCAAGGGUUCCUGUCCAACGUUAAUCGGGGCAGGGUGAGUCGACCCCUAAGGCGAGGCCGAAAGGCGUAGUCGAUGGGAAACAGGUUAAUAUUCCUGUACUUGGUGUUACUGCGAAGGGGGGACGGAGAAGGCUAUGUUGGCCGGGCGACGGUUGUCCCGGUUUAAGCGUGUAGGCUGGUUUUCCAGGCAAAUCCGGAAAAUCAAGGCUGAGGCGUGAUGACGAGGCACUACGGUGCUGAAGCAACAAAUGCCCUGCUUCCAGGAAAAGCCUCUAAGCAUCAGGUAACAUCAAAUCGUACCCCAAACCGACACAGGUGGUCAGGUAGAGAAUACCAAGGCGCUUGAGAGAACUCGGGUGAAGGAACUAGGCAAAAUGGUGCCGUAACUUCGGGAGAAGGCACGCUGAUAUGUAGGUGAAGUCCCUUGCGGAUGGAGCUGAAAUCAGUCGAAGAUACCAGCUGGCUGCAACUGUUUAUUAAAAACACAGCACUGUGCAAACACGAAAGUGGACGUAUACGGUGUGACGCCUGCCCGGUGCCGGAAGGUUAAUUGAUGGGGUCAGCGCAAGCGAAGCUCUUGAUCGAAGCCCCGGUAAACGGCGGCCGUAACUAUAACGGUCCUAAGGUAGCGAAAUUCCUUGUCGGGUAAGUUCCGACCUGCACGAAUGGCGUAAUGAUGGCCAGGCUGUCUCCACCCGAGACUCAGUGAAAUUGAACUCGCUGUGAAGAUGCAGUGUACCCGCGGCAAGACGGAAAGACCCCGUGAACCUUUACUAUAGCUUGACACUGAACAUUGAGCCUUGAUGUGUAGGAUAGGUGGGAGGCUUUGAAGUGUGGACGCCAGUCUGCAUGGAGCCGACCUUGAAAUACCACCCUUUAAUGUUUGAUGUUCUAACGUUGACCCGUAAUCCGGGUUGCGGACAGUGUCUGGUGGGUAGUUUGACUGGGGCGGUCUCCUCCUAAAGAGUAACGGAGGAGCACGAAGGUUGGCUAAUCCUGGUCGGACAUCAGGAGGUUAGUGCAAUGGCAUAAGCCAGCUUGACUGCGAGCGUGACGGCGCGAGCAGGUGCGAAAGCAGGUCAUAGUGAUCCGGUGGUUCUGAAUGGAAGGGCCAUCGCUCAACGGAUAAAAGGUACUCCGGGGAUAACAGGCUGAUACCGCCCAAGAGUUCAUAUCGACGGCGGUGUUUGGCACCUCGAUGUCGGCUCAUCACAUCCUGGGGCUGAAGUAGGUCCCAAGGGUAUGGCUGUUCGCCAUUUAAAGUGGUACGCGAGCUGGGUUUAGAACGUCGUGAGACAGUUCGGUCCCUAUCUGCCGUGGGCGCUGGAGAACUGAGGGGGG
rnacentral:rRNA from 1 species